rnacentral:tRNA from 1 species
GGGCAGGUAGCUCAGUGGUAGAGCGCUCGCCUUGCAUGCCUGAGGCCCUGGGUUCGAUUCCUCAGCACCCCA